UACCCAUUAUAAGAUGUCAGGUCUUGUCUGUUACAGUUACCCAUUGUAAGAUGUCAGGUCUUGUCUGUUACAGUUACCCAUUGUAAGAUGUCAGGUCUUGUCUGUUACGUUUACCCAUUAUAAGAUGUCAGGUCUUGUCUUUUACAGUUACCCAUUGUAAGAUGUCAGGUCUUGUCAGUUAUACAGUUACCCAUUGUAAGAUGUCAGGUCUUGUCUGUUACAGUUACCCAUUGUAAGAUGCCAGGUCUUGCCUGUUACAGUUACCCAUUAUAAGAUGUCAGGUCUUGUCUCUUACAGUAACCCAUUGUAAGAUGUCAGGUCUUGUCAGUUAUACAGUUACCCAUUGUAAGAUGUCAGGUCUUGUCAGUUAUACAGUUACCCAUUGUAAGAUGUCAGGUCUUGUCUGUUACAGUUACCCAUUGUAAGAUGUCAGUUCUUGUCUGUUACAGUUACCCAUUGUAAGAUGUCAGAUCUUGUCUGUUACAGUUACCCAUUAUAAGAUGUUAGGUCUUGUCUGUUACAGUUACCCAUUAUAAGAUGUCAGGUCUUGUCUGUUAGAGUUACCCAUUGUAAGAUGUCAGGUCUUGUCAGUUAUACAGUUACCCAUUGUAAGAUGUCAGGUCUUGCCUGUUACAGUUAACCAAAAUUCCAUGUUUUUUUUUAUAUCAAAAUGUAUGCAAACUGUUAUCAAGAAUGACUUAACGAUGUUUGAUCCUGAUAUUCAAAGUCUUAAACUUUCUUUGUCAAGUAUAUUUUUAAUUUCUACACACAUAGCUUAAUUAAAAAUCAAAUCAAAAUAUGGGGGUCAAUAUGCUUCAUUUGGCGCUACAGUACAUUAAAUAUGACCAUUUUGCACUGAAAUAUACGUCUUAAUAAAA